AUGGUGGAGACUCGCCGGAGCUCCGCCGCCAAGCGCCCCUCCUCUACGUCACCGCCCCCCGGCUCCCCCUCCGCCUCCGCCCCUCCCCCGAAGCGCCCCAAGGUGAGGCCCCUCUCCCCGCGCGGAUCGGACAAGAAUCUCGCGCCCGAUUCGACCGAUCUGAACCCUGUCCCUCGCCAGGCGGAAUCUCCAGCGUCGCCGACGUCGUCUGCGCCCGGAAGGGCCGAGGAGGAUUCGGAGGCGGCCGCGGCCACCAGGAGCGCCGGCUUGGCGGACGACGCCUUGACACCGGCGAUUAAAGAUCAAGGAGGGGAUAAGCGGGCUGCUGGUGCUGCUGAGAGCUCGCGUAGGAGGAAGGAAACGCCACCGCAGCAGCAUGCGGCGCCAUGGGCCAAGCUGCUCUCGCAGUGCUCUCAGAGUCCUCAUCUUCCUAUCAGUGUCCCUCAAUUUUCUGUUGGCCAAAGCAAAAGAUGUAAUCUAUUGUUGAAAGACCAAUCUGUCAGCAAAAUACUUUGCAAGCUGCGGCACGUUGAGCAAGGAGGUCCGUGCGAGUUAGAGGUUAUAGGCGACAAGGGCGUGGUCCUAUUAAAUGGAAGGGCCGUAAAUCCAGGCAUGAAAGUUCCCCUUACUGGAGGGGAUGAAGUCGUAUUCAGUUCAUGCGGCAAACAUGCUUAUAUUUUUCAGCAUCCUUUGAAUGAUAAAGUUGCUAAAGCGGUGACAUCAUCUGCCGUUGGCCUUCUAGAAUCUCCAGUUGCUGGUGUCAAGCAUAUCCAUAUGGAGAACAGAACAGAAGUCACUUCGACUGUUGUGGGGACAGAGAUGUUAGCAUCCGUAUCGAGUCAAUCGAAGGACCUACCAGCAGUGCCACCUGCAUCAGCUGAGGAGGAGAAUCAGAGAGUAGUGCAACCUAUCAUAUCAUCUGCUUCUGAUAAAUCAAAAGGGCACUGCAUCAGCCCUGAUAAGGAAUGCGAGAAUGGGGAAAACACUAAUGAGGCUAAUUCUAACAUUGAAGACUCUCCAAUGGAUGUGGUUGCAACCCCCAUAACUCCUGAUGCUGUUGGUAAUGACACGAGUCGACAAAAUGGCUUUGGAUCUGAUGCUCAUCUUGAUGAAAUCGGUAAGAUUGCAACUUAUAAGAUAAGGCCAGUUCUGAGGAUGAUUGCAGGGUCAACUGUAUCAGAGUUCGAUUUGACUGGUGAUCUUUUUAAAGCUCUUGAAGAUCAGAGGGAUCUCAUCAGGGAUCUUAACACGUCAGCCAGCUUACCUCCGAGCAGAUGCCAAGCCUUUAAGGACGCGAUGAAACAAGGAGUUAUUAGUCCAAGUGAUAUUGAAGUUACAUUUGAGAAUUUUCCCUACUAUCUUAGCGAGAAUACGAAGAAUGUGCUCUUAUCAUGUUCAUUCCUACAUUUGGAAAAGAAGGAAUUCAUUAAGCAGUUCUCCGAAAUUUCAUCAAUAAACCAGCGAAUUUUAUUAUCUGGUCCAUCAGGUUCUGAGAUUUAUCAGGAAACAUUGAUAAAGGCACUUGCCAAACAUUUUGGUGCUAGACUACUUGUUGUUGAUUCACUCCUGUUGCCUGGGGUGCCUUCAAAGGACCCAGAAACCCAGAAAGAUGUUGGCAAGGCUGAUAAGUCAGGGGACAAGGCAGGUGGUGAGAAAUUGACAAUUCUUCAUAAGCAUCGCUCUUCCUUGGCAGACACAAUGCACUUCAGAAGACCAGCUGCACCAACUUCCAGUGUGAAUGCUGAUAUUGUGGGUACAUCCACUCUACAUUCUGCAACUUUGCCCAAACAGGAGUCCUCAACAGCUACAUCCAAGGGCUAUACUUUUAGAGAAGGGGAGAGGGUGAGGUAUGUGGGUCCAGCUCAGCCACCUUCAGGGAUACAUCGGGGCCCAAGUUACGGUUAUCGAGGCAGAGUGAUGCUUGCUUUCGAAGAAAAUGGAUCGUCUAAAAUUGGAGUCCGAUUCGACAAGCAGAUCCCUGAUGGUAACGAUCUUGGUGGUUUGUGUGAGGAAGAUCAUGGCUUCUUCUGUUCUGCUGAAUUGCUCCGCCCAGAUUUUUCUGGUAGUGAAGAAGUUGAAAGGCUGGCUAUGACCGAGUUAAUUGAGGUCAUCUCAGAAGAAAGCAAAAUUGGUUCUCUGAUAGUGUUACUAAAGGAUGUAGAGAAAUCAUUCACUGGAAUCACAGAAUCAUUUUCAUCUUUAAGGAACAAACUUGAAUUGCUUCCACCUGGUGUUCUGAUUAUAGGAUCCCACACCCAGAUGGACAGCCGUAAAGAGAAGGCACAUCCUGGUGGAUUUCUUUUUACGAAGUUCGCUAGUAGCAGCCAGACGCUCUUCGACCUUUUCCCAGACAGCUUUGGUAGUCGGUUGCAUGAAAGGAACAAAGAAAGCCCGAAGGCAAUGAAACAUCUAAAUAAACUUUUCCCGAACAAAAUUUCCAUCCAGCUUCCACAGGACGAAGCAUUACUUACCAGUUGGAAGCAACAAUUGGAUCGUGAUGUUGAAACCCUUAAAGCAAAAUCUAACAUCGGUAGCAUUCGUACGUUUUUGAAUCGCAGUGCGAUCGAAUGCAGUGACCUUGAAGAAUUAUUCAUUAAAGAUCAGUCACUGACUAAUGAAAAUGUGGACAAGAUUGUCGGGUACGCUGUCAGUUAUCAUCUUAAGCACAAUAAAGUCGAAACCUCCAAGGACGGUGAACUUAUUAUCACGAGUGGAAGCCUUAAGCAUGGCCUCGACAUGCUACAGAGCAUCCAUAGUGAUAACAAGAGCUCAAAAAAAUCGUUAAAGGAUGUUGCCACAGAGAACGAGUUUGAGAAAAGACUUCUGGCAGAUGUUAUACCACCGAAUGAUAUUGGAGUCACCUUUGAUGAUAUUGGUGCGUUGGAGAAUGUAAAGGAAACAUUGAAGGAGUUGGUGAUGCUCCCAUUGCAAAGGCCGGAAUUGUUCUGCAAAGGGCAGUUAACGAAGCCUUGCAAGGGAAUAUUGCUCUUCGGGCCUCCUGGCACUGGGAAAACUAUGCUUGCUAAAGCAGUAGCAACUGAAGCAGGCGCCAACUUCAUCAAUAUAUCAAUGUCAAGCAUUACAUCGAAGUGGUUUGGCGAAGGGGAGAAAUAUGUGAAGGCUGUUUUUUCAUUAGCAAGUAAAAUAUCCCCCAGUGUUAUUUUUAUUGAUGAGGUCGAUAGUAUGUUAGGAAGGAGAGAAAAUCCUGGGGAGCAUGAAGCCAUGCGCAAGAUGAAAAAUGAAUUUAUGGUAAAUUGGGACGGGUUGCGAACGAAAGAUAAAGAACGUGUACUGGUUCUUGGUGCCACAAAUAGACCUUUUGACCUGGACGAGGCUGUGAUUAGGAGGUUCCCCCGCAGGCUAAUGGUAAAUUUACCUGACGCAUCAAAUAGAGAGAAAAUUUUGAAAGUAAUUUUAGCAAAAGAAGAGUUGGGACAAGAUACUGAUCUGGAGUCACUUGCUAAUAUGACUGAUGGAUAUUCAGGAAGUGACCUGAAGAAUCUAUGUGUAACUGCAGCGCACUACCCCAUUCGAGAAAUCCUAGAGAAGGAAAAGAAGGAGAAGAAUGUUGCAAAGUCAGAAGGUAGGCCUGAGCCUGCAUUGCAUGGAAGCGAGGACGUCCGUCCUCUUAGUUUGGAUGACUUCAAAUCUGCCCAUGAGCAGGUUUGCGCGAGCGUGUCAUCUGAUUCGGCAAACAUGAAUGAGCUUGUUCAAUGGAACGACCUCUACGGCGAAGGAGGUUCAAGGAAGAAGAAAGCACUGAGCUACUUCAUGUGA
rnacentral:rRNA from 1 species